rnacentral:rRNA from 1 species
GAUGAACGCUGGCGGCGUGCCUAAUACAUGCAAGUCGAGCGAACAGACGAGGAGCUUGCUCCUCUGACGUUAGCGGCGGACGGGUGAGUAACACGUGGAUAACCUACCUAUAAGACUUGGAUAACUUCGGGAAACCGGAGCUAAUACCGGAUAAUAUAUUGAACCGCAUGGUUCAAUAGUGAAAGACGGUUUUGCUGUCACUUAUAGAUGGAUCCGCGCCGCAUUAGCUAGUUGGUAAGGUAACGGCUUACCAAGGCAACGAUGCGUAGCCGACCUGAGAGGGUGAUCGGCCACACUGGAACUGAGACACGGUCCAGACUACUAAGGGAGGCAGCAGUAGGGAAUCUUCCGCAAUGGGCGAAAGCCUGACGGAGCAACGCCGCGUGAGUGAUGAAGGUCUUCGGAUCGUAAAACUCUGUUAUUAGGGAAGAACAAAUGUGUAAGUAACUAUGCACGUCUUGACGGUACCUAAUCAGAAAGCCACGGCUAACUACGUG